GGAUCAUUAUCGAAUAUGAUUCGAAGUGGGAGAGAGACUGUCGCCUGGCCAGAUCUUGGCAUGUGCACGUCCCCUCACCUUUUCUAUCUACACACACCUGUGCACCUAUUGUAGAUCCCUCUCGAAAGAGAGGGAACUAUGUUUUCAUCACAUCACACACAACGUAUGUCUAGAAUGUAAAAAACAAUAUAUACAACUUUCAGCAACGGAUCUCUUGGCUCUCGCAUCGAUGAAGAACGCAGCGAAUUGCGAUAAGUAAUGUGAAUUGCAGAUUUCCAGUGAAUCAUCGAAUCUUUGAACGCACCUUGCGCUCCUUGGUAUUCCGAGGAGCAUGCCUGUUUGAGUGUCAUCGAAUUCUCAACCAUUCUCUCUUUUCUGGGAGUAUGGCUUGGACUUGGGGGUUGCUGGCAGCACUGUCAGCUCUCCUUAAAUGUAUUAGCAAUCGAGUUGGCUAGUCUUUUGACGUACACGGCCUCGGACGUGAUAAUGAUCGUCGUGGCUGGAGCCUCUUUCCUAGACUAUGUACAUAGAUCGCUUCUAAUCUGUCGUCUAUCGAGCUUAGCUACUAGGCAGUCUUUUUGGCUGGCGAACGCAAGCGAGACAU
rnacentral:rRNA from 1 species